CUAAGAUAUAUUCUAUUGAUCAUGAAGCUAUGCAAGAAAACUAAUAUAAGAAGUGCUCUGGUUUUCUGUCUUAUGAAGGUGAGGUACUCUCCAAAAACCAUCUCGUAUUUCGAGACCGUUAGCACAACGUGGACAGGUGAGAGUGGUGUAGUAAAAAAAAAUAUGACUGCGUUCGAGUGUGAAAGCUUGAGGCAGCCCCCAUAUAUUCCAGUUUAGGUCUUAGCUUCUUUUGGAAAUGGUGUAUAGCUAGUGAUGACGACAUGUGAAUCUGUCCCUUGCCAAAUCAGGAUGGGUGAAGAUCGAGCAUGCUUACCACCCAUUUCUGGUGGGACAAAGGAUCACGUUUUUUGAAGAAAGUCUCUCUUUGAGCAGACUGGGCAGCCAGGGGGCUUCGAGAUUCGUGCCAUGGGCUGAGUUUGGGGCCAGGGAGGGAGGUGUUCGCGUGGCGUGAUGGCAAUGCUUGUGGGUAGGGGCUUGGGCUCAGCACAGAAUAAAAUGGGAAAGCGGUAGAUGACAGUUUGAAUUGGAGAGACAGUCGGUUAAAAGAAGGUUAGGUCUAGAUCAUUCCCCACAACCUAGUACCACUUCCAACUCUUUGCAAUUAUUGUUCUCUUCAGUUUCUACAUAUACCAUUUCCAACAUAUGCUAUGCUUUUUUUAUUCUUAUCAAAUUCUUACUAGUAUUUAAUUAGCACUUUGUGUAACAUUUAACAAUGUAUCUUCAAAUAGAAUUGUAUCAUAAUUGCAUUGUCGAAAUUUGAAAAAUACAAGAUUCUUUAUAUUUUUGCAUA